rnacentral:rRNA from 1 species
CCUACGGGAGGCAGCAGUGGGGAAUAUUGGACAAUGGGCGAAAGCCUGAUCCAGCCAUGCCGCGUGUGUGAAGAAGGCCUUCGGGUUGUAAAGCACUUUCAGUGGGGAAGAAAGCCUUGGGGCUAAUACCCUCGAGGAAGGACAUCACCCACAGAAGAAGCACCGGCUAACUCCGUGCCAGCAGCCGCGGUAAUACGGAGGGUGCGAGCGUUAAUCGGAAUUACUGGGCGUAAAGCGCGCGUAGGCGGUCUGAUAAGCCGGUUGUGAAAGCCCCGGGCUCAACCUGGGAACGGCAUCCGGAACUGUCAGGCUAGAGUGCAGGAGAGGAAGGUAGAAUUCCCGGUGUAACGGUGAAAUGCGUAGAGAUCGGGAGGAAUACCAGUGGCGAAGGCGGCCUUCUGGACUGACACUGACGCUGAGGUGCGAAAGCGUGGGUAGCAAACAGGAUUAAUACCCUGUAGUC